UUAGUGUGUGCAUGGAUUCCUGUAAGCAUGAACUUGGAAUCCAUACCUUACAAAAGUAUGGACUUAGAGUUCAUGCUCACGAAAUCCAAGCUCCCACUAA
rnacentral:pre_miRNA from 1 species